rnacentral:rRNA from 1 species
UACGAAGGGGGCUAGCGUUGUUCGGAAUUACUGGGCGUAAAGCGUGCGCAGGCGGCCUUCCAAGUCAGGGGUGAAAGCCCAGAGCUCAACUCUGGAAUUGCCUUUGAGACUGUGAGGCUUGAGUACGGGAGAGGUGAGUGGAAUUCCCAGUGUAGAGGUGAAAUUCGUAGAUAUUGGGAAGAACACCGGUGGCGAAGGCGGCUCACUGGCCCGAUACUGACGCUGAGGAGCGAAAGCGUGGGGAGCGAACAGG